GGACUCUGCAGUCAUUGGUUCAACCUAGCUGCAAGUCUCCCCCUCCACUCCUCCCCUUGUGCAGGGGCAAGCAGAACUAAGAGUCAGGAUGGAUUUCGAGAUACUUCAUCACACACAAAAGAAGCUGUGUGCUCCGAAUAACUAGGAUGAAUCGGGUUAUAUUGGGAUAUGUAGUGCAUCACUAUGCCUAAGCAGAAUAAAU